AUGAGGAGUAAUUCCUUGUCGAGCCUCCUGACUCAUGGGAUACUGUCGUACCCUCACCGGGGAAGCACUGGCUUUCAGUUCCACAAUGAUAGGGGGCCUCUGGCAAGUAGAGUCUGUAUUCAUCUUUUAAUGCCAGAGACAGGACCUGAAGAGGAUGCCCGGUCCCAUCUAAAACCGACACUUGUCCGUGGUCGAAAUGAAUUUGGGCAUUUACUUUAGACAGUAAAUCCCUUCCCAACAAGGGCGCUGGACACUCAGGUAUCACCAGAAAAGAAUGGGUUACCUGGUGGGCCCCCAAGUUCACAUGCCGUUUUGUAGUCCAUCCAUAUCGUUUAGUCCCGGUUGCUCCCUGCACCCAGCUACUUUUCUUAGACAUGGGUCCAUCUUUUUGGUUUAAGACUGAGUAUUGGGCUCCCGUGUCCACCAUGAAGCCAACCGGUUUCCCCUCCACAUUUAUAGUUACCCAGGACUCGGGGAGGGGCUUCGAGCCCUGACCCCCCUAGUCGCUAUCCUCACCCGCGUAGAGGAUAUGACUGUCUGGAGAGGGAGUCUCGUUCUUGGGGUUCUUGGGCCCCUCUUUUAGAUUUUUCUUGGGGCAUUUAUCUUUCCAAUGUCCAAACUCUUUACAAAACGCACAUUGGUUUUUCUCAAGCUUACGCCUUGUCGUUUUUUCUUCAGUUUUUGAGUCCAAUUUUUUUUCUUUCUGGAACCUGUUUUUGUUUUCAACCCCAGCAAAAAAUAUCUGGGCCAGCUCUUUUUGAUUUUUUACGGUUUUCUUCAGCUCUAAAUUCUCUUUCUUCUCUUCUAAUGCGGUCCUCUCUCUCUUCUGGGGUCUCUCUAUGAUUAAAAACUCUCUCGGCUGCCCUCACUAGAUCUUUCAAGGAUUGUUCAUUUAACCUAUCUUGUGUAACUUUUUCUUAAUAUCGGGGGCUGCUUGAUUUACAAAUGCUAACAUAACUGCCGCUCAUGACUCAUCUGCCUGUGGGUCCAUAGGGGUAUACUGUCUAAAAGCUUCCAUUAUCCUUUCAAGGAAGGCUGCUGGGCUCUCAUUUGGUUCCUGCCUCACUGAAUUUAUUUUGGCCAAAUUAGUCGGCUUUUUGGCGGCCGCUCUAAGGCCGGCCAUAAGAGUCUGACGGUAUACCCAGAGACGCUCCCUACCUUCAACGCAUUCGAAGUCCCAGUUGGGUCGCACCAAGGGGAACCCCUCCUCAAUGAGGUUAGGCUGUAUUGUGGGCCUCCCAUCCACCCCUGGCACAUUCUUCCAAGCUUCUGACAGGAUCCGCUCGCGCUCCUCUGUAGUGAAAAGCACCUAUAACAGUUGCUGACAAUCAUCCCAAGUGGGAUUAUGAGUAAAAAGGAUAGACUCUAAAAGAUCAAUAAGACCCUGCGGUUUUUCAGAGAAGGAGGGAGUCUGGGUUUUCCAAUUGUACAAAUGGAAAGGCAGGAAGGGUGGAGGAGGGAACCUCCGGGUCUUCUUCGCUAUGCUGGCCAUUUUUUUUUUUUCCUUUUUUCCACCUUUCCCUGAGUUUCCUAGGCGGGGCCCCUUUUUCUGGGAGGAGCUGAAGGCUUGGUGUUUUUUUUUUUCUGGCUUCUCCUGAUGAAACCUGUGGAACCUGUGGAAGCAAGGGCAGGGAAGAGGGAAGGGAAGUGAGGGGCUGAAAAACAAAAGGUUUUAGCCAGGCCAGGGGUUUUCCACCAGGUCCUGUCAGACCAAAAUGUAUGGAGUUUGGUCUGGCUGGGUGUCCUGAAGGGUAGGGGGUGAGCAACUUCUCUCUGACCGCUCAAAUAGUAGGCAGGCUGAAGGUGCCUUCUUGUGGCCAGCUGACAUCAAAAGCAGGCCACUCGGUAGAACGAAAAGUUACUAACUUGCUUUUUUUUACCAGCAAUGAUAGAUUCUGUGCUCUAGACUUGAAAUCAGAGAAGUGGUUAAUCAUAAGAGAUAAAGGAGUAGAAGUUGUUUGUCCCAUGAUCACAGAAAAGUACACUGGGAGCCAACAGAGCACACAAAGAGCAACACAGACACCACAAAUAGACAAACAGAUAACAAACGCAAGGUGGCCACCGACAGUGCACUCAAUCUUACCUGCAGGAUGUUCACAGAGCCAGCCGCCUCCCCAGCAUGAAACCGGGCCCCGGCCUUAAGCUGGACUUAAUCCAGUAACCAGAGCCAGCUGCCUCCCCAGCACGAAACCAGGCCCCGGCCUUACGCUGACUUAGUCCAGUAUCAGAGCUAGUUGCCUCCCCAGCACGAAACUAGGCCCCGGCCUUACGCUGACUUGUCUCUGCACUUUACAGCCAGAUGCCUCCCCAGUACGAUACCAGGCCCCAGACUUAAUCUGGGCUUCUGCAACGUUAGCACCAGUGCUCAGAGCUCUUAUCUCCUAACGAGGUUACUCCCUUCUACCAGGAGAGUUGUCCUCCCCGGCAGGAUGGAGAUCCCGGACGAGCCCCCAGAUGUUAUGCUCCGAGCCCAUAUCUCCGAACCGACUGAGAGAGCAAGUCCACCACAGUAUUGCAAAUGCAAGAAGGGAGUUUGUUUAUUCCUAGCGCACUAGGGCCCAAGUCUCAUCCCACACAAGGGAAUCUGACAAGAGCCCCGAACAAAGCGGUAUGGUGGCUUAUAUACAGGCAGUUCUUUGUCUCAGUUACAGGAGUAGCUGGCGUUACAUGAUUGGCCAGGCAGGAUGAGCGUGUAUCCUGUCUCUUUCUGGAAAACAUGACUCAGGUCCUAGAGACCGUCGUUUGGUCCCUAACAGUGUAAAAUAAAAAUGUCAUGCUACUGCUGCUGCUGCUAAGUCACUUCAGUCGUGUCCAACUCUGCGCGACCCCAUAGACGGCAGCCCACCAGGCUCCCCCGUCCCUGGGAUUCUCCAGGCAAGAACACUGGAGUGGGUUGCCAUUUCCUUCUCCAAUGCGUGAAAGUGAAAAAUGAAAGUGAAGUCACUCAGUCGUGUCCGACUCCUAGUGACCCCAUGGAUUGCAGCCUACCAGGCUCCUCCGUCCAUGGGAUUUUCCAGGCAAGAGUACUGGAGUGGGGUGCCAUUGCCUUCUCCAAAAAUGUCAUAAGAUAUAUGUAGAAAUAAGCUUAUGAAUUAACAUUUUAACAAAUGUAAAUGUAAACAAAAAUUAUCAAUUUGAAUUUAUUCAUG
ensembl:lincRNA